rnacentral:rRNA from 1 species
AGCGAACGUUAGCGGCGGGCUUAACACAUGCAAGUCGAGCGAAAAAGUGGCUUCGGCCAUCAGUAAAAGCGGGCGGGACGGGUGAGUAACACGUAGGUAAUCUUCCCCUUGAGCGGGGGGACAACGAGCCGAAAGGCUCGCUAAUACCGCAUAAGUUCCCAGGGUCCUCGGGCCUUGGGAGGAAAGCUAGGUAGCAAUAUCCGGCACUCGAGGAGGAGCCUGCGUCGCAUCAGCUAGUUGGUGGGGUAAUGGCCUACCAAGGCGAAGACGCGUAGCUGGUCUGAGAGGAUGAUCAGCCACACUGAAACUGAGACACGGUUCAGACUCCUACGGGAGGCAGCAGUGGGGAAUAUUGGACAAUGGGCGCAAGCCUGAUCCAGCCACGCCGCGU